UACAGAGGUCUCAAGCGUUGUUCGGAUUCAUUAGGCGUAAAGGGUGUGUAGGUGGCGCCGUAAGUCGGGUGUGAAAUUUCGGAGCUUAACUCCGAAACUGCAUUCGAUACUGCGGUGCUUGAGGACUGGAGAGGAGACUGGAAUUCAUGGUGUAGCAGUGAAAUGCGUAGAUAUCUGGAGGAACACCGGUGGCGAAGGCGGCAUCCUGGACCAACACUGACACUGAGGAGCGAAAGCCAGGGGAGCAAACGGG
rnacentral:rRNA from 1 species